UACGUAAUCCCCAAGCGCUACCCGGAAUUACUGGGUGUAAAGGGUCCGUAGGUGGUUAGAAAAGUCAGGUAUGAAAGACCGGAGCUCAACUCCGUGUUUGUGCUUGAAACUCUCUAACUAGAAUCAGGGAGAGGUAAGCGGAAUUCUAAGUGUAGGGGUGCAAUCCGUAGAUACUUAGAGGAACACCAAAAGCGAAGGCAGCUUACUGGAACUGUAUUGACACUGAGGGACGAAAGCGUGGGGAGCGAAAAGGAUUAGAUACCCUUGUAGUCCACGCCCUAAACGAUGAUAACUAAGUGUUGCAUUUAUGCAGUGCUGUAGCUAACGCGUUAAGUUAUCCACCUGAGGAGUACGGUCGCAAGAUUAAAACUCAAAGGAAUAGACGGGGACCCACACAAGCAGUGGAUCACGUGGUUUAAUUCGACAGUAAACGUGGAAUCUUACCCAGACUUGACAUCUAUCGAAUCCCGCAGAAAUGCGGGAGUGCCUUUAUUGGAGCGAUAAGACAGACGCUGCAUGGUUGUCGUCAGCUCGUGCCUUGAGGUGUUCGGUUAAGUCCGUUAACGAGCGCAACCCAUGUCGUUAGUUAUUAUGUCUAACGAGACUGCCUUGGUUAACAAGGAGGAAGGUGUGGAUGACGUCAAAUCUGCAUGGCUCUUACGUCUGGGGCUACACACAUGAUACAAUGGUAUGUACAAAGAGCAGCAACAGGGCGACCUCGAGCUAAUCUUCAAAGCAUAUCUCAGUCCGGAUUGAAGUCUGAAACUCGACUUCAUGAAGUUGGAAUUGCUAGUAAUCGUGAAUCAGAUAUGUCACGGUGAAUGUGUUCCUGGGUCU
rnacentral:rRNA from 1 species